CUCAGGAUGAACGCUGGCGGCGUGCUUAACACAUGCAAGUCGAACGAUGAACCUCACUUGUGGGGGGAUUAGUGGCGAACGGGUGAGUAACACGUGAGUAACCUGCCCUUGACUCUGGGAUAAGCCUGGGAAACCGGGUCUAAUACUGGAUACGACCUUCUGGCGCAUGCCAUGUUGGUGGAAAGCUUUUGUGGUUUUGGAUGGACUCGCGGCCUAUCAGCUUGUUGGUGGGGUAAUGGCCUACCAAGGCGACGACGGGUAGCCGGCCUGAGAGGGUGACCGGCCACACUGGGACUGAGACACGGCCCAGACUCCUACGGGAGGCAGCAGUGGGGAAUAUUGCACAAUGGGCGCAAGCCUGAUGCAGCGACGCCGCGUGAGGGAUGAAGGCCUUCGGGUUGUAAACCUCUUUCAGUAGGGAAGAAGCCUGUCUUUUGGGUGGGUGACGGUACCUGCAGAAGAAGCGCCGGCUAACUACGUGCCAGCAGCCGCGGUAAUACGUAGGGCGCAAGCGUUAUCCGGAAUUAUUGGGCGUAAAGAGCUCGUAGGCGGUUUGUCGCGUCUGCCGUGAAAGUCCGGGGCUUAACUCCGGAUCUGCGGUGGGUACGGGCAGACUAGAGUGCAGUAGGGGAGACUGGAAUUCCUGGUGUAGCGGUGAAAUGCGCAGAUAUCAGGAGGAACACCGAUGGCGAAGGCAGGUCUCUGGGCUGUAACUGACGCUGAGGAGCGAAAGCAUGGGGAGCGAACAGGAUUAGAUACCCUGGUAGUCCAUGCCGUAAACGUUGGGCACUAGGUGUGGGGGACAUUCCACGUUUUCCGCGCCGUAGCUAACGCAUUAAGUGCCCCGCCUGGGGAGUACGGCCGCAAGGCUAAAACUCAAAGGAAUUGACGGGGGCCCGCACAAGCGGCGGAGCAUGCGGAUUAAUUCGAUGCAACGCGAAGAACCUUACCAAGGCUUGACAUGAACCGGAAUGAUGCAGAGAUGUGUCAGCC
rnacentral:rRNA from 1 species